rnacentral:lncRNA from 1 species
AUACCCCUAAUUUUUUAGCCUAUUUUUGUCUUUUGUAUAUAUUUUUUAUUUUUUAUUUUAUUAUUAUUGCUUUAUUUAUUUAUUUUUGUUCUUUCUUUUAUUUCCUUUAGUUUUUCUUUUACCUCUUGCAUUGAUAGUGUGCCCCUCCCUUUUAUUAUUUCUUUUAUAUUUUUUAUUGCUUUAUUUAUUUGUUUAUUUUAUUGUAUUUUUAGUUGACGCAUAAUUGUUAAUACAAA